rnacentral:lncRNA from 1 species
AGGCCACACCCACUCCAACAAGGCCAUAUCUCCUAAUAGUGCCACUCCCUAGGCCAAGCAUUUUCAAACCAUCACAUAGGCUGAAGACCAAGGAGGAUGUGGGAAAAGGUUUCCUUUUAUGUGAGGGACAGGGUUGUGCUGGAACCACGGAGAAGCAGAGAACCUCAAAGCAGAGAAGGCCUGAGCAGAGGACAGCCUGGCCUCUGGGCUAAUGCUAGGGUCCCUGCAGCAAUCAAUGUAUUCUGUGCCCCUUUUGUUGUCUAUAGAAUUAAGGGUCUCACUGAAGAACUGGAAUGGCCCCAGGAAUCUCAUGCUAGAAGGAAAAGCCUGAGGAGGCCCUGGCGCCAGGCAGAGGGGAGCAUGUCCGUCUCCUGGGAAGAGCUCCCAUGCAGUUCUGACGGACCACCUUGCAGGAGGAACUUGUGUCUAGCAAUGGUGCAUCAGUGGCUCAUUCCUCUUUCUAUUUAAAACUAACAUCACGUCAGGACCUCUCUAGCAGACCUGGAGGGGCCCUGGGACUCUUUGCUCCUUCCCUCAAUGCUCAACGUAGUCACUUUCCUCUGUGACUUGUCUGUCAGUAGAUCUGUUGAGCACGGGCGACCCAGUGUGUUAGGUCCCACGCUGUGACCCUAACAAGUCUGCUAAUGCUGUGGCAGAAGUUAGGCCCACGUGCCUCAGGGAAUGUUGCUGGUUAACUUUUUUGUCAGCUUGACCCAAGUUAGAGUUAUCUGGGAAGAGAGACCUGUAGGCAUAUCCGUGUGGCCUUUUCUUGAUGACCGGUUGAUAUGAGAGGCUCAGUUCACUGUGGGUGGGGUCAUCCCUGGGCUGAUGGUCCUGGGUUGCGUAAGAAAGGAAGCUGAGUAAGCCAUGGGGAGCAAGCCAGUAAGCAGAACUCCUCCAUGGCCUCUGCUUCAGUGCCUGCCUCCAUGUUCCCGCCUUGACUUCUCUCAAGGAUGGAUUGUGACCUGGAAGUGUAAGCAGAAUAAACCCUUUUCUGUCUCCAUUUGUCUUUUAUCAC